UACCCUUGACAUGUACGGAAGACCGGAGAGAUCUGGUUGUGCUCGAAAGAGAACCGUAACACAGGUGCUGCAUGGCUGUCGUCAGCUCGUGUCGUGAGAUGUUGGGUUAAGUCCCGCAACGAGCGCAACCCUUGUCAUUAGUUGCUACGAAAGGGCACUCUAAUGAGACUGCCGGUGACAAACCGGAGGAAGGUGGGGAUGACGUCAAGUCCUCAUGGCCCUUAUGGGUAGGGCUUCACACGUCAUACAAUGGUACAUACAGAGGGCCGCCAACCCGCGAGGGGGAGCUAAUCCCAGAAAGUGUAUCGUAGUCCGGAUUGUAGUCUGCAACUCGACUACAUGAAGUUGGAAUCGCUAGUAAUCGCGGAUCAGCAUGUCGCGGUGAAUACGUUCCCGGGUC
rnacentral:rRNA from 1 species